GACGAACGCUGGCGGCGUGCUUAACACAUGCAAGUCGAACGGAAAGGCCCUGCCUUUGUGGGGUGCUCGAGUGGCGAACGGGUGAGUAACACGUGAGUAACCUGCCCUUGACUUUGGGAUAACUUCUGGAAACUGGGGCUAAUACCGGAUAGGAGCUCCUGCUGCAUGGUGGGGGUUGGAAAGUUUCGGCGGUUGGGGAUGGACUCGCGGCUUAUCAGCUUGUUGGUGGGGUAGUGGCUUACCAAGGCUUCGACGGGUAGCCGGCCUGAGAGGGUGACCGGCCACAUUGGGACUGAGAUACGGCCCAGACUCCUACGGGAGGCAGCAGUGGGGAAUAUUGCACAAUGGGCGGAAGCCUGAUGCAGCAACGCCGCGUGCGGGAUGACGGCCUUCGGGUUGUAAACCGCUUUCGCCUGUGACGAAGCGUGAGUGACGGUAAUGGGUAAAGAAGCACCGGCUAACUACGUG
rnacentral:rRNA from 1 species